GCUCCGGUGGCCUAGUGGUUAGAGCGUCUGCCUCGGAUGCGUGAGGUCCUGGGUCGGACCCCGGCUGAGCA